rnacentral:rRNA from 1 species
UACAGAGGUCCCAAGCGUUAGGCGGAAUCACUGGGCUUAAAGCGCGUGUAGGCGGAUCGUUAAGUGCCUUGUGAAAUCCCACGGCUCAACCGUGAAACUGCUUGGCAUACUGGCGGUCUUGAGUCACCUAGGGGCCUGCGGAACAAACGGUGGAGCGGUGAAAUGCGUAGAUAUCGUUUGGAACGCCAACGGUGAAAACAGCAGGCUGGGGGUGUACUGACGCUGAGACGCGAAAGCCAGGGGAGCAAACGGG